GGACAGUCCAUUCCCUUUUUUUUCUCCCUCCGCCCGGGCAGGAGUGGGACAACUCCGAGCUAGAGGGUGCAAGCGGGACCCUGGGCGCAGGUGUAAAUCAGUCACCUGUGCACCGAGGGGCUGCGGCGAGAGUGCACGCGCGUGGAGUGGCGUGGGCAGCGAGCACGGCUGGAGCGGCCAGGCGGGGAGGGUGCUAGCGGAGCGGAGAGCUGAGGUGGCCGUGGGGCGGGGCCACUAAGAGGAGACCAAGAGGCGGGGGCUGCACUUGAGGACCAGCCUGCUGAGAUGAUCAACAGAAGAGAUUCUUGUGUCCUACAGACCAAAGAAAGAAUCAGCAGGAAUGCCCAGGGUGAAUGAUGGAUUGCAGAGCCUGGCUGGCACAUUUUGUGCCCUCCCCGCCUCCAAAUUGCCUCAGUUACAAAUCGGAAGGCAGGCUUGGUGACCAGGACUGGCAAGCACAUUUUAAAGUCCCAUGCUGUGGAGUUGAUCCAUCUCAACUUGAGUCAGAAGAGGCAGAAGUGGAUGUGAGAGAAAGAGACACACAGAGAGACAGAGAGCCAAAGAGGGCAAGAGACUUGACUUUAAGAGACUCCUGUACUGACAACUCCAUGCAGUUCGGAACCAGAACGACUGCGGCUGGACCAGGGUUCAUGGGGACAUGGCAAAACGCUGAUACUAACCUCUUAUUCAGAAUGUCCCAACAGAUCAACAGAAGAGAUUCUUGGGUCCUAGAGACCAAAGAAAGAAUCAGCAGGAAUGCCCAGGGUGAAUGAUGGAUUGCAGAGCCUGGCUGAUGUUUUCAGUCCCACUUCUCACUACUGACCUUCCUCGUUCAUCGGUCACUGACUUGGCGCCUCUCUGGGGUUCUGCCCAGAAGAUUUAGCCUUCCUCCUUCGCCUCAGCCCCUCUAACUCAACAAAAAUCCAGUGGGAGGCUUUUCAGCAGGUUUAAUAGAAGACAAUGAUCUCUAUCGUUGGGAAGUCCUUAUUAUUGGUCCUCCAGAUACACUUUAGAAAAACAGUGGCUCUGUCAGCAACCAUGGCACAGGAAGGUCACCUUUUCAUCCUGGUGCUAACAUCCAGCUGGAGUGGCAGUAUUACCAAAAUAAAAUCCUGAAAGGAGAAGCAGGUACACAUGAGUGUUUAAAAGCCAUGACAGGAAAACUCGAAGAUCUCAGGGAAGUCUGUUUUUUGAAGUGUUCAGGAACGAGAGGUGUUUUAUUAUCUUUAGUGUGAUGUUUUCUACCAUUUUUGUACGAGGAGUUUUUCCUGUGUUGAAUUUUGGUUCUUAAGUUGGAAAGUAAAGCAACCUAGUAAUAUUCUUCAUUCCUACCUUUGCUCUCUUUUUUUAAUGUGUUGUUUUCCCUUUAUUGUUUAUGAAAAUGAAACCAUAUCUUUGUAAUAAUAAAAACUUUGAGGUGAUGCAUCAAAUUAUUCUAAUAAACUUAUGAUUGUGCCUAUGUAAAUUAUAUUUCCAUAGUACUAGUUAUUUUUACUUAGCAUUUGUCCUUGGCAAAAUGGCUUUUUGUAAUUCCUUUUAUAUCUCGGUCUCAACUUUAAGUCAGGAUAUUAAGCCUUGUGUCUGACAGUUAAAAAUAAACAUGAAACACUGCUUGUCUUUUU